AGUGAAUGCUGGCGGUAGGCCUAACACAUGCAAGUCGAACGGCAGCACAGUAAGAGCUUGCUCUUACGGGUGGCGAGUGGCGGACGGGUGAGGAAUACAUCGGAAUCUACUUUUUCGUGGGGGAUAACGUAGGGAAACUUACGCUAAUACCGCAUACGACCUACGGGUGAAAGCAGGGGAUCUUCGGACCUUGCGCGAUUGAAUGAGCCGAUGUCGGAUUAGCUAGUUGGCGGGGUAAAGGCCCACCAAGGCGACGAUCCGUAGCUGGUCUGAGAGGAUGAUCAGCCACACUGGAACUGAGACACGGUCCAGACUCCUACGGGAGGCAGCAGUAGGGAAUAUUGGACAAUGGGCGCAAGCCUGAUCCAGCCAUACCGCGUGGGUGAAGAAGGCCUUCGGGUUGUAAAGCCCUUUUGUUGGGAAAGAAAAGCAGCAGGUUAAUACCCCGCUGUUCUGACGGUACCCAAAGAAUAAGCACCGGCUAACUUCGUG
rnacentral:rRNA from 1 species